AGUCCAAAGGCGUCAAGGCCA
rnacentral:miRNA from 1 species